UUGCACGUACUCUCCCGGGCUUCUCUGAAUUAUCUUUGAAGAACAGAGCCCCAAUAGUCGUGCUAAAGCCUCGCCGUUUUACGUGUUGCAGUAUAGCCUUUGCUUUUCCACCGGCUCUUCUGUGUCAAAUUAGCGGCUACAUCU
rfam:Corchorus capsularis cultivar CVL-1 contig05564, whole genome shotgun sequence.